AUGGUGCAGAGGGAUGGAGUUCCCAAUGAUUGUCUCCCUGAGACUGAUAACUCCUUAGGGGCA
rnacentral:ncRNA from 1 species